GACGAACGCUGGCGGCGCGCUUAAUACAUGCAAGUCGAACGGAAAGGCCUGCUUUCCCUUGUGGAUUGCGGGUACUCGAGUGGCGAACGGGUGAGUAACACGUGAGUGAUCUGCCCCCAACUUGGGUAUAAGCCUGGGAAACUGGGUCUAAUUCCCGAUAGGACUGCAGGGUGGUGCCUGUGGUGGAAAACGAUUUUCUAGUGGUUGGGGAUGAGCUCGCGGCCUAUCAGCUUGUUGGUGGGGUAAUGGCCUACCAAGGCGGCGACGGGUAGCCGGCCUGAGAGGGUGGACGGCCACAUUGGGACUGAGCUACGGCCCAGACUCCUACGGGAGGCAGCAGUGGGGAAUAGUGCACAAUGGGCGGAAGCCUGAUGCAGCGACGCCGCGUGGGGGAUGGCGGCCUUCGGGUUGUAAACUCCUUUCGACCGAGAGGAAGCCACCUGGUUGGAAGGGUGGUGACGGUAGUGGUAGAAGAAGCACCGGCUAACUACGUG
rnacentral:rRNA from 1 species